UUAAAUCCCUCAAUCGAUUGCUUAAAAGCCCAAAACAUACGGUCAAAUACACGAUACAUCGGAUUUAAUCGCUCAUUUAUCCAAUGUGGAUUAUCUUCAAUCAUGUAUACUGUUUCUGGGUUAAAAUGAUGAAGAGCAGUCAUGAAUCUACGCAAACGACUAUAUGAUUCAUCCCAACCCCCAUAAAGCCUUGCAAUUGCCUUCUGCUUAGCUUUCCAUGUUUUCUGAUA
rnacentral:lncRNA from 1 species